rnacentral:rRNA from 1 species
AUUGAACGCUGGCGGCAGGCCUAACACAUGCAAGUCGAGCGGAUGAGAGGAGCUUGCUCUUCGAUUCAGCGGCGGACGGGUGAGUAAUGCCUAGGAAUCUGCCUAGUAGUGGGGGACAACGUUUCGAAAGGAACGCUAAUACCGCAUACGUCCUACGGGAGAAAGUGGGGGAUCUUCGGACCUCACGCUAUUAGAUGAGCCUAGGUCGGAUUAGCUAGUUGGUAGGGUAAAGGCCUACCAAGGCGACGAUCCGUAACUGGUCUGAGAGGAUGAUCAGUCACACUGGAACUGAGACACGGUCCAGACUCCUACGGGAGGCAGCAGUGGGGAAUAUUGGACAAUGGGCGAAAGCCUGAUCCAGCCAUGCCGCGUGUGUGAAGAAGGCCUUCGGAUUGUAAAGCACUUUAAGUUGGGAGGAAGGGCAUUAACCUAAUACGUUAGUGUUUUGACGUUACCAACAGAAUAAGCACCGGCUAACUUCGUGCCAGCCGCCGCAGUAAGAC